CUAUAAUGCAGUCGAGCGGACAGAUGGGAGCUUGCUCCCUGAAGUCAGCGGCGGACGGGUGAGUAACACGUGGGCAACCUGCCUGUAAGACUGGGAUAACUCCGGGAAACCGGGGCUAAUACCGGAUAAUUCUUUCCCUCACAUGAGGGAAAGCUGAAAGAUGGUUUCGGCUAUCACUUACAGAUGGGCCCGCGGCGCAUUAGCUAGUUGGUGAGGUAACGGCUCACCAAGGCAACGAUGCGUAGCCGACCUGAGAGGGUGAUCGGCCACACUGGGACUGAGACACGGCCCAGACUCCUACGGGAGGCAGCAGUAGGGAAUCUUCCGCAAUGGACGAAAGUCUGACGGAGCAACGCCGCGUGAGUGAUGAAGGUUUUCGGAUCGUAAAACUCUGUUGUUAGGGAAGAACAAGUACCGGAGUAACUGCCGGUACCUUGACGGUACCUAACCAGAAAGCCACGGCUAACUACGUGCCAGCAGCCGCGGUAAUACGUAGGUGGCAAGCGUUGUCCGGAAUUAUUGGGCGUAAAGCGCGCGCAGGCGGUUCCUUAAGUCUGAUGUGAAAGCCCCCGGCUCAACCGGGGAGGGUCAUUGGAAACUGGGGAACUUGAGUGCAGAAGAGAAGAGUGGAAUUCCACGUGUAGCGGUGAAAUGCGUAGAGAUGUGGAGGAACACCAGUGGCGAAGGCGACUCUUUGGUCUGUAACUGACGCUGAGGCGCGAAAGCGUGGGGAGCAAACAGGAUUAGAUACCCUGGUAGUCCACGCCGUAAACGAUGAGUGCUAAGUGUUAGAGGGUUUCCGCCCUUUAGUGCUGCAGCAAACGCAUUA
rnacentral:rRNA from 1 species